rnacentral:rRNA from 1 species
CGCUGGCGGCGUGCCUAACACAUGCAAGUCGAGCGAGUGGAUUCCUUCGGGAGAGAAGCUAGCGGCGGACGAAGAAUUAACUUAGUGGCGAACGGGUGAGUAACGCGUGGGUAACCUGCCUUGUACAGGGGGACAACAGUUGGAAACGACAGCUAAUACCGCAUAAGCGCACAGCUUCGCAUGAAGCAGUGUGAAAAGCUGAGGCGGUACAAGAUGGACCCGCGUUGGAUUAGCUAGUUGGUGGGGUAACGGCCUACCAAGGCGACGAUCCAUAGCCGACCUGAGAGGGUGACCGGCCACAUUGGGACUGAGACACGGCCCAAACUCCUACGGGAGGCAGCAGUGGGGAAUAUUGCACAAUGGGCGAAAGCCUGAUGCAGCGACGCCGCGUGAGCGAUGAAGUAUUUCGGUAUGUAAAGCUCUAUCAGCAGGGAAGAAAAUGACGGUACCUGACUAAGAAGCUCCGGCUAAAUACGUG